rnacentral:rRNA from 1 species
AUUGAACGCUGGCGGAAGGCCUAAUACAUGCAAGUCGAGCGAGCGGCGGACGGGGGAGUAAUGCAUGGGGACCGCCCUAGACAGGGGGAUAUCUACUGGAAACGGUGGCCAAUACCGCAUACUGCCGGAUAAACCAUAUGUGAUUAGCUAGUUGGUAAGGUAAUGGCUUACCUAGGCGACACUCCCUAGCUGGUCUGAGAGGAUGAUCAGCCACACUGGGACUGAGACCCGGCCCCGGCUCCUACGGCGGCGGCAGUGGGGCAUCUUGCACAAUGGGCGCAAGCCUGAUGCAGCCAUGCCGCGUGUAUGAAGAAGGCCCUCGGGUUGUAAAGUACUUUCAGUCGGGAGGCGUUACCGACAGAAGAAGCACCAGCUAACUCCGUGCCAGCCGCCGCGGUAAUAC